GAUUAGAGCCCAAAUACUCUAAAGAUACCAGAUCUGAUCUGAUCCUGGAAGCAAAACAGGGUCAUCCCUGGUUAGUACUUGGAUGAGAGGCCAGUGACAAAUACUAGGUGUUUUGUGCU
rnacentral:rRNA from 11 species